GAUGAACGCUGGCGGCGUGCCUAAUACAUGCAAGUCGAGCGAACAGAUGAGGAGCUUGCUCCUCUGACGUUAGCGGCGGACGGGUGAGUAACGCGUGGAUAACCUACCUAUAAGACUGGGAUAACUUCGGGAAACCGGAGCUAAUACCGGAUAAUAUAUUGAACCGCAUGGUUCAAUAGUGAAAGACGGUUUUGCUGUCACUUAUAGAUGGAUCCGCGCCGCAUUAGCUAGUUGGUAAGGUAACGGCUUACCAAGGCAACGAUGCGUAGCCGACCUGAGAGGGUGAUCGGCCACACUGGAACUGAGACACGGUCCAGACUCCUACGGGAGGCAGCAGUAGGGAAUCUUCCGCAAUGGGCGAUAGCCUGACGGAGCAACGCCGCGUGAGUGAUGAAGGUCUUCGGAUCGUAAAACUCUGUUAUUAGGGAAGAACAAAUGUGUAAGUAACUAUGCACGUCUUGACGGUACCUAAUCAGAAAGCCACGGCUAACUACGUG
rnacentral:rRNA from 1 species